CAUUCCUCCUGCAGCAGAUGGGGGACAAAGACAGACAACCACAGCCCAACCCUGUGCAGAAACGCCUGCCCCUGGCUCAGCGCCCAGUGCCAACAGAACACCUUCAGGAUUCACAGCAACGCAGAAACCAUGUCCAGGACCCCGGCCUCUGCUUGGAACGGAAUGGUGUCAUGGCGGAGACAACGG